ensembl:lncRNA
UGCAAAACUGCAGCAGGAUUGCAGAAGUAAUGUUCCCUGAGAAUCAUCUGUUUGCAUUCCUUCCUAUGGGCACAAAAGAAUACAUGUUUUUUUUCAGGUGUGACAUGAGAAUUGAGCUGCAUUUGAUUGAAUAGCAGCUAGCUCCUCCUUAGGACGGAUAAGUAUCAAGUAGAAGAAGAAAAUGAGCAAGAAGCUAGUUUCUACAGUGAACAAAAAGCAGCUCUCAUCUUUUGUGUGGUGGUGAAAGUCAAACUUUCAGAAGGUUCCAGUCUCUGAAUAUUUCAGUGCGUUCAUCUCAGCAUUCUUAAGAUGAGGAAACCUUAAAUAAUUUAUGAUCCUAUCAGGAAAAAAAAAAAUGGUGAGUCUGCAGUGCUACGUUUUGGCUCUUUUUAUUUUUUGUUCUUCUUUAAAUUAGUUAUGCAAGGGAAGUAGAUAUAUUCUCUGCCUGUUCCUGAAUUAAGAUACAGAUAAAAAAAAUUAAACAGAGCAAACAAGCUAGAUAUUGAGCCACUAGAUUGAGUUUGAUUCUCUACUGUAUUAGUCUCUUUUCCUCUAAAUUUCACACUGAAUUUCUGACUAAUUUCUAAUUAGUUACAAGAAUAUUUUUCAUAUACCUUGAUACCACAAUGAAAAGGCUUAGGAAGAAAUCUGUAGUGUCUUUUCUGGUAAGAAGCAGAACAUAUCAUUCACCUGUGAAAAACUUGCCUACUAAGACUAGAAUUAAUGAUGUCUGGUGCUGGGCUUCUCUGAGAUUCCCAUAUAAUUUGUGAGUUGCUUGCCAAGACAGACCUGCUCAACACAAUUAGCUUUUCAUGUACUAACGGGAGCAGGAAGAGCUGCCAGCAAAGAAGACAAGUAAAACAAUCCUAAAAUACCUACCAGUUUGCUGGGAGGUGAGACAAGGUACACUGUAUGAUGAGUUGGGAAAAGAAAAAGCAGGCUUGGUUGUCUUCUGUUCAUUGACACCAUUUCACAGAGCAUAUGUAACAGCAGGAAAGGAGGAAGGACACCAGCUAUUAGAUACCGAUGUCUGCCAGUUCUGUAGCUUUCACUUUACUGCUUUUGGUGGUUACCUUGUAAAAACCUAUUUAAAAGAAGCAAGAUGAAGUAGUAUGUACCACUGUGGCACGUUGUAAGAAACUUCAAUCUUCUGUUAUCCUUCUCAUUUCUUUGUCAACCUGGUCAAUCUUCCCACUUCCCCCAUCUGUAGUAUUAAGUGAUUUGAUUGAUCAUACUAGACUCUGAGACAUAAAGUAUUCAGAAGGAUGUGAAGAGUUGCACUGGCUGUUUACAUAGGAAACAUCAUUUAGAAACCAGACAGAGAACAGUGCUCUGCAGAUGAAUGCAGAUACAUACUCGCCACCUAUCUGGCUACAUGUAUGUAUGUUUCAUGAGACUAGAAUUAACUUCUCUCUUCAAAAAGCUGACACUAAAAGGACGCUCACUCUGAGGGACAUGGUUUCAUGGGCAGGGAGGUGACGGGUUGAUGGUUGACUACUUUUGAAUUAUUUCCAACCCUAGUGAUUCUAUGAUUGUACUAUAAAGAAACACAGUCUAAGCUUGGAAGUCACAUACUUUUUGAGUAGAUGAGAAAGAUUUGCCUAUUAAAAUCUAUGAGUACUAAAUGGAAUCCUGGGGCAUAUUUCUUUAGGAAUUUUAUAGGUAAUCACUGGAAGAAUGCAAGAUGUUGAUUUUGAAGAAAAUAGCCAUUCCUUUGUCAGUGUAAGGCUAAAGUUCUUUGCUAGAGGUUUUUUAACACUCUCUUCAGUGAACACAAAAAUAACUUCCUCACCUUACAUCCAGCUCCAGCCAGCUUUGGAAGUUUGAGAGAUAACUUGGUAUUGUUCCACCAGCAUACACUAGAAAAAAAGAAGAGAGAAAAUGCUGAUCCAGGAAUCCUUUUAAUUCAAGCAAUUAAAGAAGUACAGUUCUGAGCAAAGCAGUUUGUGUUUAUACUCUACAUAUUAUGCAAUUAAAAAAAUAAAAAAAUCAAAAGCUCUUAGGGACUGCACUUAUUUUUUAAUGAAAUCAAUGUCUGCAUCUAGUUACUAAUAAGUAACUCUCAAUAACAGUUCCUUACAAGAAAGUUAGUUAUUUCAGCUUCAGGCAGAUAAAAGGAUUAUUAGAAAACUGAGUGUGUCUGAAUGUUUAAACAUUCUUGAAAAACAAUACUUUGACAUCAGCUCAAGCCCAUAUAAACAAAAAUAACUUUCCCACUAAAAGCAAAGGAGGACACAGAUUUUAUGUGAUGAAUUCUGGACUGGUGAUAACAUCUACGAUAAACACACAAAUAACCAACCUUUUUAGAAUCAUGACUGUGGCAAAUUUUGUCAGAAUUUUAACUAAUAAGGUGUGCUUUUUUUUUUUUUUUUUUUUUUUUUUUUAAAUCUACCCACUGCUAUCUUAUACUUAUUAGGAUUUUCCGCUGUAGCAUGCAUCACACUACGCAGUAGACUUACUAUGUAAAAUACCAGCAAAAAAGGUUGACAUAAUGACUCAUUACAAUUUAAAUCUUAUUACACAAAGCUUCAUUCAAGUCAAUAUACAUAGUACAGAACGGCAGGGGUACAUUUUAGCCUGGUGUGAGCAGAAUGAAUCAUGCAAUUCUCAUUACAGUUAAUAGAAGGAACAGAUCUAUUGCUGCAUGUGAGCCCCUGGAAGUGCACCACACAAUUCAUAUUUGAAUCAUGCUGGGAAAUGGCUACUCCAGUAAACAGACAAAGUACACCAGCAAUGUUUUAAACUUUAAAGUUCAUCUGAUUCAAUUUUUUUGGAAAGGACAUUUCUUCAUAUUAAUAACCUAGUACAAAUACAUCAUUGGCACUGAUGAUUACUCCUAAUUGCCACAAGGACAAGCAGAGCUUCUCAGAAGCUUAAGAAGUAAGGGACAUAAACCAUAUUAAUAUGGAUCAAGUCUGUCCUCUCUGCUCGUUAUCUUCACUGACAGACUGCUAUCUUUUCCCUUCCUAGGCUCUUGCAAACAUUGUUGUCCAUGCAGAAAUGGUUAUUACUGAACCUGGCUUCUCCCUUAUUGAAUUUUAGGAUAUAUUUUUAAUUAUUAUUUUUGUAUAAACUAUGCUUGAAGACUAAUAGCUUAUAUACUUAUGGUUUUAGUUGCUUGUUUUACUAAUGGCUUGUUCCAGCUAAUUAAAAGAAAUCUCCAGGAAAUCUCUUUCUUCUGAUAAGUAGGUUGCACAAACAGCUUCAAGGAGAAUGCAUCCUUCUAGCCAUAAAUCUGUACUUUUAACCAACUGCCAACCCUGACUGCAUACUCUGUAGUGGUAUGCCUGUAGUUUCACAUGCCCUCAAAAAGUGAUAUUUAUCAUUAAUUAUUGGUUGCCUUUUUUUUUUUUUUUUUAAUAAGUAUCCUGUAAAGUAUGGUUAAUUAUGGAUAAUGCUCCUGUGGAUUAUAAUCCAACAUCGCUUUUACCGGGCAUAUCUACAUCAAAAAGGAUUAAAUUCACAAAUAAGCACAUCCUUCUAGUUAACAAAAUGGAUUUUUUUCUUUUUUUACUGCAGUUUGGGGAUUUCAAUUACGUAUAUGAACUUCAAGAAAAAGUUUUCUUAUCUUUUCCUUUCCCUAAUUUUUGCAAACCAUGAACCCCCCACCUCAAUUUUAAUUGACAUAGCUUGCAUUGCUUACAAAACUUAAAUAAGUAUAAUCAAGUCACUUUUCCAAUUAUCAGACAGAGAUCUUUGAGAAACAAAGUUGGGUGUGUUUUGAAAGCAGAAGCUAGCUUGAAAAAAAAAAAAGAAAAGAAAGAAAAAGAAGAAGCUUUUAUUAAAGAUGAAAGCUAUACAGAGUGUGCGUUUGAAUUCAUUUGGAAAAGAAUUCAAAUAGCUAAAAUCCUCAAAGAGCAGAAAGGUGCAGGUUACCAGUACAGCGCUGCUUCUGCAGAAUGGCAGCAUCAUCAGGAAUUCAGCUUCAUUGCUGAGAUUUCACAGAGAAGCAGUAAAGCACCUCUUAUCCAAAGGGCUUCCAAAGGCACUUUCUGAAAGAGCAGGGUUUCCAUUGUGUCCGUGUUGUGAGCUUGGCAGGGGUAUUCAUCAACCAUUAUUGAUUUAGAAGGAGGCAUGGCUGGAGUGAGGAGGAUUGAUCUGAAUCCUCCCUUGGCUAAGUUAACUAUUUGAGAGAUCUAUUCAUAUCAAGAUGAAGCACUGAAGAAUGACCUACAGUGACAGGAAGCGGGUAUCUAUCUUUGCAGUGUGUGUGUAAAAUUCUGGUUUGUUGUUCUUGGGUUUGGAUUGUAUUUACUUAUUUUUUUCCUCUCCCCCUUAGCUUUUAGAAACAUUAUCUUUGCUAAGUCUAGUAUUUCCUGUUAUUUUUCUUUCCAGGCAAUUACCUGAGGGACUAGAGUGGCAGUUUCUACGGAGAUGAUAUGGGGAAGGGAAGUGGGAGAAAGAUUUCUCGACUUUCUAUUCAAGUUAGUCUGACUUGUGUAAAACCAAAUAAGAUAGGUAAUACCUUAGCUCAACUGUACUGGUCAACCUCUCCUCUGAAUUUCCUUUUAAUAUAUGCCAGGGUUAUUUCUGUUGUCAGUAUUGCCAUCCUUGUCUUUUCUGUUUUUUGUAUUAGUUCUCUUCCAGAAUAAUCUACAACUUACCUUCCUCAGAGAGAGGACCAGGGGCUAAUGGGGCUCAGGAGAAUCACUCUUGGAUACUCUUUGAUGACGUCCCUUACCUGGACACCAAUUGAACUUGGACUUCCCAUCUCUGUGAUCAUGGGGCCAUAUUUCAUCAGUAUGUUUUUGGCCAGCUUUAAUAUUACAUCCCCAACACCCUUCUACAGAUCUUAUGAGUACCGAUUUUCUUUACUGACAGCCAUCCAAAAUGCUUCUGCAAGGAGCAUUUCUCUUCUGUCACAUCACAGAUAACCUUCCUGUCACGUGCCGAUAUGGCCUUUCCUUCAACUCGUCAUUUCACAUAAAGUACUGAUACAUCAAGUGCCAUCACUGAUUAACUUCUGAUCUCAGCUUGUUCAGUGGUUUACUGGAGUUAGGGACAAACACAUUUGUUGUUUGCCUUGUGCUGUUCUCCACAGUAUAGAAGUCUUUUCUACAGAAACACAUAAAAAGCCAUUUCAGCCUUUUUUUCCCUCUCUCUCCCCCUUCAAAAAGCCUUUUUCAGGGAAAUACAGAUACUUUUUUGCUUAUAUGCUGCUGGCUCUAGCCCUGUGGCUUCCACUUAGCUGAGUAACAUAAGAUUUAAUCUCUUCCUAAAGAAAAAAAAAGGUGCACACAAACAAAAGAGAACCAGAACAAACAGAUAUAUCUUUCAUUAUUUUCCUGUUAAUCCCAAAUUAAAAUACUCUGUUACUAUUCCCACAAUAGAUUUGGAAAAGGUGAGACUGUGUCUAUACAAAAUAGAUCCAUUACAUGAAUUAAGCUAUUUAUCAGCUUCAAAUUCUGCACAUACUGACAGCUGAAUUGUAUUUGGUACACACCUUCAGACAUCUUUUUCUUUCUGAUUAUUGUAGUGACUAGCACAACAGGUUACUUAACCUGUGAGUAGGGCUACUGUAUGCUACUAUGCUAUUAUUAAAAAAAAUUCAGAAGACCAAAGAGUCAGUAUGUCAGUUUUAUAAUAAUUCUAUAUAAAUGCUACUGUAAUUUAAACUGCUAUUGUAAUUUAGAAUGUCUUUAAAACCAGCCCAUUCAGAUCGGACAGCCUUGUAGGAAAAGAACAAAGAAGAUCAUAACCGUUUAAGGUAAGAAAUAAACAAGAGCACAUAACAAAUCCUUUUGAAGAUGUUAAUUAUGAAAAGGAAGGUUCCACUUUUCUGUUUUAAGGCAUUCCUGUUAAGUGAACAAUAGAAAUCACAAUCACUCUUUUUCAUGAUUCAUUAAUUUAGGGAGGAAACAUAAACAGUCCAGUUCUUCUAAAAAGAUGACAAGUAAAUUUGAAGAGAAAUCAAGGACUGUGAAGGAUCCAACACCUGUCUAACAUAUUCUUCUUUCAGAAGGAAUUUCUGUUAUGGCCCCCAAAAAGAUCAGGGUUCUGAGAUUUUUGUUAUUUUAUAUGUCUCAUCUUUGCUGCUAAAACCACCAGACUGCUUACUGUCUUCCCAAUGAAGUAAUCAUCAAAUCAUCUUAUAUUUCCAUUUUAUUGCCUUUACAUUUAUGAAUCGCAGCAUAUUGAUUUCACCCUUACAUUGCACUGAGUUUGACUCCCGCUUAAUAGACAAAAUGACUAUUUGCUUUCUGCAAACCCUACUAUCUCUUUCUUUUCUUCUCUGCACUAUAAUCUGUGACUUACAAUAGGCCACUGCUCAGUAAAAUGGUGAGGUGCUAGUUCAGCCUAAUAUUGUUCUUUUUUUAAAAUCUAACUGCCAGUCCAUUGUUACCGCACUUUUCCAGUACAUGCUCUUCAAAUUAUCUGACUUCCCAAUAAGUUGAACAGUGUAUUAUGUUCACCUGAAAAUUGUUCAGAUAAUUAUCUCAUACAAUAUUUGAUCCCUUCCCAAUGUUCAGUGUUGGCUACUGUUCCCUACUCCAUGCUGUGCAGUUCCAAUUUAUCAUUCAACUUCUGUAACGUUGAAUAUUACGCUGAAUUACACAUCAUAGUGCAUUCAAUCCUUUGCUGUCUUGGAUGUCACAUACAGCACUGGAUUGUCAUUACAGCAUCCUUCAUUAAUUUUUUGUUGCUUUUUUUUUCUUCUAAACCUUUUCUCACUUCUAAGGCUGCUGAUCUGUGACUUAAAAACACAGUGCAAGUCCUAUUUCAUACACUUAAUGAGCGAACAUCCUUCAUAACAUUUGUUGGAAGUGCACGUCACCAAAGCUCCACCAACUCAUACUUGUCCCGAGUCUUCCUGUUUCCUUAACCUACUCAUUUCCUGUCAAAAGGUUUUCUCAUGUUUUUACCAGGAAAGGUAUAAAUUUGUUCACGUCCAUUUCUUAUUAGGAGAUCAAGUGACAUAUUAGACCCUAAACACUUUUGCCUUUUCUGAUUUCCUUGCAGAAAAAAAAAUAAUUCAGACAAGAGAGCACAGUACUCUCACACAAUAGCUUCUGCUUUUGAAAUAACAACCUGAUACAAAACAAGAUGUAAUUAAUUAUGUUUUAAAACUGUAGAGUGCCUUCAUCCUCACAAUAGCAUUUAGCCCAGUGAUCCCAGUGAACUCAGGGCUCCCUUAAAUCAGCAUGAAGUACGUAGAUCACUCAGGAAGUAAUGCCUCCUAUUUAUUUCCACAGAAUAUGUGAUAAAAAGAACACGGUAACACUAUUUGAUAGAGCAAAUUCUCAGCUACAAAACACAAUUUUUCAGCAUAGCCACCACUCUUUGCUAGUGAAAAUACAUAGCAAAGAACAAGAGCCUGCAAACAGUGCUUGUAGACGUCUGCACCAGCUGAGAAGACCCGCUGUCACCACUGCUGAAAAGCACCACCCACUGCCUCACCAUGCUCACAUGAAUCAUUUCAGUAGGAAGGGACCACUAAAGGUCAUCUAGUACAAUUCCUCUGCAAUGAACCGUCACUGUUUGGUCUCCAUAACCAUUCAGCAAAAGGGUGCUGAAGGGUGCAAUUUUCUUCUAGAAAAAUACCAUUAUUCACUACUUAUUGCCCUCAACCUUUUGUCAGCUUUCAUCUCUUUACAAAUUUUACAGAUUUAGGAUCACAGUAUCAUUUGAGUUGGAAGGGACCUUUAAAGGUUACCUAGUGCAACUCCCCUGCAAUGAAGAGGGACACGCACAGCUAGACCAGGUUGCUCAGAGCCAUGUCCAGCCUGACCUUGAAUGUUUCCAUCCACCACCUCUCUGGGCAACCUGUUCCAGUGCUUCACUACCCUCAUUCUUUUGAAGAAAUGUCUUCAGUAAAAAAUGAAAACAAAGAUUAGCAUCUAUUCUGAAGAGGUACUUUUCCAGCCCACUGCAUAAUGACUGCAAAGAGAAAGAAUGUUGAAUACAUAUUUUUUUAUUAUUAUUAUUAUCAAUCCCACUGGUUUCAAGUAUCUAUUAUUGCAAUGCAAACAAACUAAUAUAUAGAACACUAUUUUUAAAAAGAGAAGCUGUAAAAUGAUAAGCAUUUCCAGAAUCUACACAAAUGCAACAAGAAAAAGAUCUGCUCUCACGUUAGCAAGACACAUUGGUACUUUUGCUAAAGUACAAGAUCUGACCUAACUUCUUAAUAAUUAGGAAUAUUUCUGAAACUUAAUCAAAUAUUACAUUUAGAAAUAGUAUAAUUUUCAUUUCCUUUGAUUAAAAUAGAUUUUAGCAAUAUAGCCUCAUGUCUCGUACAUCAAACUCCAGAGAAGCAAUCAGCACAAUAGUUGGUGGUAAGAGAACUUAAACAUUUUAUUAUGGGCAAUUUAUUAUAUGAAAUAGCACUGAAAAUUCAUCUUCUAUUAAUUUUAAUCAGGGGCUAGCAUUUUAGCAGGCCAAUAAGCCAAUAAGUCAAGCAAAGAACAGAUUAACUAAAUGUACAUUGGAAAAGACAGUACAAAACCUGCAUGUAGAGUAGCUUCUCAGCUGCUCCAAUUCUUAAAGAGAUUAAAGGUAUGACUGUUGUGUAUUUCUUCAACUAAUUAUCAUUCUGUAUAAUGUUAGCUUCCAAGUUGUUUCUCUGGUGCUCUCCUAACAGCAGUCUGCUCAUUGCUGCCUGAGACUGGAACUACUACAGGAAAAGCUAUACUGUAAAUAGCAUAAAUUUUACUUCAUUGAAAAUCUUCUCUGUUCCUUUUCUUUCUUACUUUAACCCCAGUGUGGAAAAAGAGCCCUUACCCCACCAAGAAGGCAGUCCUUAGAUGGAAGUUCUACACCUAUUAUUUGGCACUCAUUUCAUCUGUCCUCAAGUGUAUUUCAUAACCACAGCUGCUUGCUAACAUAAAUUAAACCAGCUUUUACACAUGGAGUUAACAAAAACAUGUGAAUGGUGAGGGUAGCAGUGCCAUCAUGAGAAAAAGGCCUCUCUAAGUUGAGCUAUCUACCCCUUCGACAGUGAAGCAGGGGGGAAGCAUGGCAGCAUUGUUACACAGCACACAGCUGAAUGAUGGCUGAGCAGAGCUUUCAAGCCUUUUAAUCUGUUCUUUGAUCAUCUCUGAAAUAGAUCAAGGCAAAGCCAUUCCUUUCCUCUCUGACAAAAAGUACUUCUCUAUAUUAAACAUAUCCUCCUAUUUUAUAUGGUAUCAGAAAAUUGGGCUCAGUACAUCACCUACUUACUCCAUUUCACUCUUCUCAGUAUAAAGGCCUGAGCCUAGAACUGCUUUGAACCAUGUCCUCCAUUGAAUAGCCUGAGUGGGGCAAUGUCCUUCCUGAACUGAGGCUGGUAUGACUGACAAAAGGAGCCAUAAGGAAUGCUGAAAGAAACAGAACUGUUUGUGUAGAAGGCCUUUAAAACUAAAGAGAAGAAUUCUCACAAAUGAUGCCGUUUGUGGAAGUUGAUAUUAUAAGAAUCAGUAGAUAGUAAGAAAAAUUAGUCCAGAUUGGAGUACAUUUAUCAAAGCCUUUGUUGUCUUAAGAACAGAUAGUUCUGUAGUGUAUGUUAAAGACAUGCUAGGGCAUAAAGAUAGACUAGUACAAGAAAUCAAUCAAUUUGGGUCAAAACAACUUCUGAAAAGUAUGCUUAAUAGUCAUUGAGAGGCCAUGGGGAUUCCUUCUAUAUGGUCUAAUAGGUUAAUUUAACUCACGACGAUAUUUUUUCAGUAUUUAUUAAACAGGUGGACAAAAGACACUUGUAAUUUUGAAAUUUCCUCUUACUGCUACCAGCAGCAGUUAGGCUCAUAUGUCAUAGAAUCAUAGAAUAGCCUGGGUUGAAAAGGACCACAAUGAUCACCGAGUUUCAACCCCCCUGCUAUGUGUAGGGUUGCCAACCACUAGACCAGGCUGCCCAGAGCCACAUCCAGCCUGGCUUUGAAAAUGUACUUCACUGUGAAAUUUCACAAGGUUCUUCAACAAAGAAUCAACACUACUACAGGGUAGGGAUGUUGUCUUAGCCACAGUUUUGGUAACCAGGGGGAAUAUUAAACAAGUGACAGAAAAAUAACCUUGUUGGUGAAGAGACACCAUGUUUGCUCAGGUUAAAUUUAAUGAAGAACAGAAAAAAGAUGGUCUGUGACCAGCAUCUCCAAUUUCAAAAGGGCAGCAAAAAAGAAACAUUCUCUUAGUUUAUUACCAAUCUCUCAAUUCCUGCAUUCAUAGAUUUAUACCCUAAAUUUUGAAACAAAACAUUUGGAGAAUGGAAAGUGCCCUUUAACAUAUAGUGAAAGAGAAGACACGUUAUUAAGGGGACUAGAGAAAACACUGGGAUUUUAUAAUAGUAAUAACAGGUAACUUUGAAUAUUCCUGCCAUGAGCAUGCCAGGUAUUCAUUUUUGCAUCUGAAAAAACAUUCCUAUUUCACCACAGUCUUCUGGAUGCUAAACUCAGAAUCAAAAAUAGCUUAAAAUUCAUCAAGUUAACAGUAGUUACAUUGGCACACAGCAUAAAUCCAUAUUUUGACAACCUGAAGAAAGUGUUAAGCUUUCUGUUAUCUUAUUAAAUGGUAUCAGACUUGCCUUGCAUAGAGCACAACAGACUUGAUAAAUGCUUAGCUUCGGCUACACUCUGCCAUUUAUUUUCAUACUGUCAGACUUAAUCCAUAACUGCUGUUCAAAGGCAGCUAGCAGGAUAUGAGGGUGCAUCUUGACUCAGUCAGUAGCUGGCCACUGGCAGCCAAAAGCUACAACACUUUAUUGUAAUUCUAACUGCAUCUUGACAUAAUUCAUUUUCAUUUUUUAUAUGCUAUUCUCUAAGGAAAAACAAUUUAUAAUCAUGAUUUAAUUAGCUUUUAUUUUGUGUCAAUUUGUUUAAUCUCAUUGACUAGAAAGCAUGGAUUUUUACUGGGAAAAAAAACAAAACAAACUAAAACAAUCUAGUAUCUGAAAAGGACAUGGGGGGGGAUAAAUGCAAAAUUCAGAUUACUGGAGUUAAUAUGAAGCCUGUGAGGACAUCUUUUACGUUGAAGCGCAGAGUGAAAUCAGAGAAACUAGAUAUGGAAGAAUAGCAGAGGUCUGAGAGGUGCAGAAAAAAAAAAAUGCACAGAAGAGUUAUUCUGAAGCAGAAACAAAGGAAAGAACUCCUUGCUACCUCUAGUGCCAGAGCAUAAAGAAUGCAUUGUACUUGAUGGGCACUUCAACCACAUCCAUCAUCCCCGGACUGCAGCUCAAACCUAGCAGUUUGGCCCAUUCAUUUGCAAGAACCUACACACCAAGGGACAGAGGAAAAUGUUCUGCAACAGAGCAAAGGCCUUAGCACUAUAGUAGGUUGCUUGGAAAGUUUUAGUAUUAAGAUUAGAUUGUAUUUUCUUACUCUAUGAUGUUCUAUUGCAAUACUUCUUCCUAAAGCAGAAUUCCUUCAACUGAAAGUACACAUGAGCACAUUAAUGGUAUUUUAUUUUAUUUUUUUCCAAACAAGAAUCAUCUUCCUAAGCACAGCUCUGGAGAAGAGUUAUUUAAGCCAAUAGUUUUCAGUUUUCCAUUGAAAUUAUACUGAAUGGUAACCAGUCAUCCACCAGCUGGCAGAAAGAAGAGUUUUCAAACAAGUCUUCUAUGAUAGAAAACAAGGUAUAUUCUGAGAAUAUUCAGUCAAUUCCCAAAUGAGUCAUGGGUAAAAGAAACAAAGAAAUAAAACGAUGUUCUUUCAGUACACUUCCAAACUAUUUAGGGCAGUGGACUGCUCCUAACCCUGGUAAGGACGUCAAUGUUGAAAGUGGCACGAGUGUUGUACGUACGUUUCAGGGGUGGAACUAUGUCACUAUGGUUGUAUCAAAUUUUCCAGCUACUCUACCGUAGAGGGGAAAUGUUCCCAAUAGCACAUUAAAUGGAAUAUUUCAACAUUUCAUCAGGCAUAUUUAUUUAGAGACCUUAUUUACUGUGAAAACAUGUUAGAAGAGAAAACAAAGACAAGUAAGUGUUCCUGGAUUCUCCUAUUCAUCAUUAGAAGCCAUCUGAAUUGCAAAGAUGCCACUCUCUCAAGCAGCCAUUCCCUUUAUGCCAUAGGCUUUUGAAAAAAAAUCUUAUUACAGCAUCUGAAUCUGCUACCCUGUCUGCUUAUGGGUACCAAUCAGGAGGGCUACAGCUACCUAACAGUAGUAGUAAAGCCCAUACCUUGGUCAAAGUUCUCCAGCAAAUAUUCUAUAUGCUCCUUAUCUUCAGUUACAUACAGCAUUUGACCAUGCUGCCAUAAAUCUGUAAAGCAAUUCUGAUUAAAUUACCCUGUCUCCAACUAGUCUAUUUUAUAUAUUUAUAUAAAUAUAAAUAAAUAAAUAUAUAUAUACACACAUAUAGUCUAUUGGUAUAGCUACCAAAUACCCUGCCAGAAGGACACCAGUGAUGGUACCAACAAUUUGUUGUGCAAAAAGAUGAAUGGGAAAAACAAUUUAAACCCAUUUAUGCAGACAGAAAAUAAUAAUAAUAAAAAACGCAGAAUUUAAGGGACUGUGCUGUAUAUCAAGAAUAUUGAUUCACAGAAAACACAAGCUCUUUUUUCUCCUCAUGGUUACUCUUUCAUCAGCAUAGUUACAGAAGAGCUAUUCUGAAAACUGAACCAAUUGAUAACCACUGUUGCAAAACCCACUUAAAAAGUUGGUGAUGGACUAGAAAAAUGGAGCAGAGGAUACAGAAGUAGCAGCACUAAGCUGCGAGCAGCAUAGCAGUGUGAAGAUCUAUUCCCUGCCUAUUCUCAUUUAUUGAGGCAGAAUGGUGAAAGGAGUCCAAAACUAAGUAUUCACAUUCAUUACCAGGGGAGAAGAGGGGAAAAAGGAAUUUUCCUUUCACUUCACUUGAUUUCAGGAGUGAUUAGGUUCAGUUGUGUCUCUUAAAUUGCUUGGUAAGUAUUCUAUCUCUGUCAUUUCUAUAAAAGGGAUAACACAUUUCAUUGCAGCGUUUUCACUCAAAAGAGACUGGAAUUGUAUUAAAAAAAAAACCACAAAAACAGGGAGGGGGGCAAGGUUGUUUUUUUUUUUUUUUUUUUUUUUUAAGCUUAUUUCAAUACAGUGGAGUAACCUAUAGUCGCCUUGCAUGCAAAACUGUAUGAAGAAAUUGUGGAAAUCCAUUGAGUAAACAGUUAAUAUUAAAAAUACAUACUGUUUCAGAUGCUGGUUUGUUUAUAAGAUACAACUGCAACACCUUUAGCUGUGAUUGCUUUCAUCCCAGAGACUGAAUUAAAGAAUGAUUUAUUAGGGUAUAAAAUAUUAUGUCCCAACUAACUAUAUUCUUUGAGACAGUUCCAAACUUCAUUUUAGACAAAACAGAAGAAAUAGGGAAUAAAUAACAAAAAUUCUGGGACAGAAACUCGAAGAGCAUUGUAUUUGCAACAAUUUCCUAAUGCAAAUUCAAAAAUUGACAGUAUAUAUUAAAACUGUAUUCCCUAAUCAGCCCUGCACAACAGCUUCAACUACUUAUUAAUGUGUGAUGACCUCACACCUUCUCACUUAACUGAGAGACAAAAACGCCAGCAAGGUUUAACAUCAUCAGGCCGCAGCCUCAGCACCAUGGUCCAACUGCGGGCAAUCGAUAGCAUGUGCUUAGGGAAGAGAAUAGGAACAGGUCAAACAUGAAGUAAUUGUUCUCAAAGCCACUAAUACUUUGCAGAUCAGACCCAGAGGAGAUGUUUUAGUAUUUAAUAACCUUCAAUUGAUUUCUCUUUCAUGAAUUUGUCAGCUCACACCAAACAUGUAGACAUUCUCUUUGUCAGCUCAAACUCAGAUGAGCUUUUUUUAUGCAACUGGUGCUCGAACAUGAGCCCGAUAUAUUGCUUUGUUGAGUGUCUGAACACUGUUUGCAUAAAGGGCAGAUCAGACAUUAGAAAAGGCUGUUUUAUGAUUUUAAGGAUGCUUUCGCAUUUAAUAAAUAAUGGGCAUAUAUUUAAUAUAUACAGGCAAAUUUGAUAUUAUUGACCUAUCUCAGAUACAGGCUCCAAAUUCUUCAAUACAUUCCUAACAUGGAUUUUGACCCCAGCUUCAGGCUGUGUUCCCAGCACACAGUACCUAUUUGAUCACUCAAAUCUUUUUUCAAGUCUGAGGAGAGAACAUUAAUAUAUGAUUUUCAGUCUAAACACUGUGUUGAGUUAGUAGGCACUAUUUUGAAGAAAUAGGAAACAAAAUACUGAUAUUUCACUAGUAACCAUUCUUUGGAAUACUCAAAGAAAAGAAAUCCUACUUACCAAUGGACGAGGAAGUAUUUAAUCUUAUCUACUCAUAAUAAACACCACAUCACCCAUUUCCUUGACUCAGAUGCAGUAAUUUGAAAUAGAGAAUUUGAAAUAAACAUAGUCUAGUUUUCACUUCAAAAUUUCAUAUUAUCAAGUAUCGUGGGUAUGAGAAAAAUCUUUUUGCUUAAGACAUGAUUCCGAUUAGCUGUCAGAACUGCCAAGUCAAAGAGUUGCUUCCAUUUUUUCAUGAGAAAUUCAUUAAAAGUAAAUGAAUUCAGAAUCAGGCUCACAUGUAUCAGAAUGGUUGGUUCUGAAGUCACACAGUUGUACCAAUACUAAACCUUUAAAGUAUAUCGUAAAGGUCAAUAGAUAAAACAUUGGGAAGUUUUACUCAUGGAACCAUUUAAUUUGCUACUGCAAAUGAAUUCAACUGCAUUUUACAAAAUACAUAGCUGCUUCUCUUUUUGCAAUUAGAGAUUCCUAAUAAUAUAGUGAAAGCUUCUUAAUCAUUGCUCAUUCUAGCAUAAAGUAAAUCUUGCUGUAUUUGAAGAGAACCCAGUCAUCUUAACAGCAUCCAUUUUUGUUCCUUUCUAUUUUUACAAGAUUAGACUACUUAAUAAACGCUACCAUAUUUGGCUGCAGUAGAAGUGUGAAGUAGAAUAAAAUUUUCACAGCGGAUUAUAUGUCUGGGACAAAAUUCAUUUCUGUAAUUAGGUUUAGUUCUGUUGCCUAGGUUUACAGAAAAGUCAAAGUUUUUUUUUUUUUUUAACCAAAUAUUCCCCUGCAGAAUUUUAUAUAUAUACACACACACACACACGCAGUUUAUAUAUAAAUAAAUACAUAUAUAACAAUAUAUAUAUUUAAUUCUGCAGGGAAAUAUAUAAUAUAUAUAAUUAUAUAUGUAAAAUAUAUAAAAAUAAAUAAAUAAAUAUAAAUAAAGCAUGGUUAGAGCCAGGCCUAUUAUCUGGAUAUUUGCCAGAAACAUUGUUCUGGCGGUUUUCUUAGCUAACAUUAUGCCAGUCUGGGGGAAAAUAAAUAGAAAUACUCAGCACCUAAAUAGUUAUAAUUUUAAUCGCAAACAGUGAAGACACUAGGACAGCCCUGGAGUGCUCGCAUACACUCAUAUUCAUUCAUAAGAGGACUCAGAGAAACUCCAGCAAUGGUCUCAGAUACUGAGAGUUCGGAGUUAAUAAUAAUAAUUAUUAUUAAUAAUAGCCACACCUUUAGAUCUCUGUUGCAGAGUGGGACUGUGAGCCCUCUGGACAUCCUCCCAAAUCCUAAGAAACUGAGCGAUACGUUCUUUUUAAUCCAAGCUUCGUUGUCUUUAACAACAAGAAUGUGUUGGGCAAAUUGAUGGAGAAAUGAAUCUAUUUCAAUGUGUUCUUUGCUAUGCUACAGUGCUUUUUAAAUGGUGUCUGAACAGUUGGUCACAGAUUUAUUUACGUUUUCAUGUAAAGAAAGAAAAUAUUAUCAUUUUCUAUAUGGGAAACUGUUUCUCUAAUUAUUUGGCUCCUCUUUCUGCCACAUAAACACAGCAAUUUGCACCCCUCUCCUUCAACUGGCUGCAAUUAGCAGCUACAUUGCAAUAAGCAGAUUAUGUUAAUUAAAAACUCAAAACUAUGUAAACAAAGGGAAAGCUGACUAGCCAUUUUCUAUUUUUGCCAAGUGGGAGGAACACAAGAGAAAUUAGCACCAAGCUUAAUUUUGCUGUUUAUAAUUCAAGAUAUCUGUAUCAAAUAGAAGCAUUUUAAAAGUAUUCUUCUAUAAUCAUUUGUGUCUCUCUGUACUAAUUGAAUCCCAUUGACAUCUGCAUACAUCACAAAAAAAUAUUCACAACAUCUAAAAAGGUGUUGCGUGCAAGCCUGUUCCAUAUCACCUACUGAACUGUUAUAUUUAACAGAAGUUCCCUUCCAAGCCUGAAUUAAACUCUGAAAAAUUCAUAGCUAAGGAUAAAAGUACAACUUGGUUUUGCUUCUUCGGCAAAAAUUGUGAGCAAACUCUGGUAUAAGCAUUACCCAACAGACAUGAAUAAAUUGUGAAGUUUUAAGAUGUUGCUACAGUUUCAUAAAAGCCAUAGUUUAUGCUGCUGCUGAAAUUCUUGUUUCUGUUCUUCUGUUUUCCAAGCAGGAUUGUUUAAUGGUGUUGGGAGGAGUGGGAGACAGAAGUGGAUUUUAUCAGCUGGCUGCGAUGCUCCCAGUGCUCCCCCAUCACCAUGGGUUGGUUACCUAUCGGCAUCACACACUAAGGAGAUAUUACAGUAACACCAGCAAACAAAUGUCAUGCACAGAAAGACUACAUACAUAUAUAGGAUUUGUUGGCUAUGCCUGUGAACUUGCCAUUAAAUAGACUUUAGGGAAAAAGAAACAGAUUGUAAGACUACAGCCCUCCUCCAUUUUUCUAUUAAUAAUCUAUCCACGUACAUGGAGAAGACAGAAUAUUUCUUUCUCCAGGUUUGCACUACUAGAUACUGUUGAUCAACUGCAAAGAGGAAAAUAUGGGAAAUGGUCACAGCUUUGGACUGUUCCUAUGGAUUCUUUUUUAAAUUAAAAAAAAAAAAACAAAACAGAAUAGGAGUGGAAAAUUAUACAGAAAUAGAUAUUGGCUCACAUCAUCCGGGACCAGGCUUCCAGAGUGGGCAGUACAAAACUAUUUUUUCAGACUAUUGUUUCAAUUACAUCCUUGAUCCAAACUGCUUCUGGAUCAAGAAGAUUCUCAGAAGAUGGAUAAGUUAUUCAUAGACCUCCUGGGAUGUCACAUAAUGCUAAGUAGAUAGGAAAGGACAACAAGAGCACGAGCACAGGAAACUUGAAGAGGGAAGAAAUUUAUUUGGACACUUUGUGAUAUUUUUCACCUGCUGUCUUUCAGCCAUUUACAGAUAGUGAGAAUAGUGAAGUGCUUCAUGUAUGCUAGGUUUAAAAAAAAAAAAAUCUGUUUUAAGGGCAACUCAGAUUUCCCAUCUCCUGUUCCCCUGCAGAGCUCCCAGCCGGUAGGAGGGCUGCUCAAAAUAAAAGUGCAGUUGAUCAUUUCUCUUUUCAUAUUUCCACUAUUUUCCUUUUGGAGGCAUGAACUUUAAAUGAGCUGCUGUACAAGCUUCUUGGGGUCCAAAUAGAGGAAAUCACAUCCACCACAGAGACAAGCACAGCAGAAACCCCAAAUAUGACCAUUAUGUUCAACUCAGCAGUCUUUUUUCCUAUUGGUAGGUUUCUGAUACAAGCUUAGCAUCAAACCAAGCUGUCAAAACCAAUGAAAUCUAUUUCUGUGGCACUGAGAGAGCUCUUGAUGAAAGUCAAUCAGUUUAGGAUUUUUUUUUUAUUAUUUUAUUUUUUUAGAGUACCUACAGUCAAGACAGGGAAGAGUGGGUGCUAACAGAAAUGCUGUCUUCUCUCUUUUUCUAGGAUUUAAAGAAUACGUGCUAAAUAAAUCCCCUUAUUCUGCAAACAGUACAUACAGCUGCUUGCUAGCAGUGAUGUUUCAGUCUAUUUGCUGAGUGUCUUGUUCCUUAGCAGAAUUAACAGUUUUGCCAAAUCUUUUCUUUUGAAGGAUGAUUUAGAUCUUGAUGGGACUUUGUUUCUGUGUAAUGAAUGGCAGCACUCAGGCUUCUGAGUGAGAUGAUUUUUUGUUUUCAUACUGAAAAGGAAGAACCUCAAAGGAAAUGGAAAGAAUGACAAAUGAGAGGAAAGACAACACGGGUAAUGCCUAUGAAACUGGCUAUUUUUUCACUAUUUAAGUUUUCACGGGAUUUCCAGUACAAAUACACACUUAAUAGCAGUAAGAUACUACAAUAAGUGCUUGACUUACUGCUUUUUACCUACACAGACAGCAUUUUUGAAGCUUUCUAGGUAACUUAGUAUAGUUUAUGAGACCAUUCUACAACCUUAUCUAGUCCAGCAAUGUUUUUAAUCACAAUUUAAAGUUUCAUUUCUUUUUAAAGGGUUCUAAAUAUCUCUUUGAUUCCCAUUGAAAAAAACAGACAGACAAACUAACAAAAAGAACCAGCCAAGGCAGAAGAAAAAUACAGCAAUAAAUACGUGUUUGGUGGUAUUAUAAAUCAUUAAGUGUUCCUUGUAUGGACUUCCCCAGCCUGGAAGCUAACUAUAGCUGUUUAAGGAUUAUCAUUUUACAAAAAGGUUUACUUCUGCAUUUUAGUUUAUUCUCUGCUAGAGGCAUAACAAAAGAAAUCUUUUCCACAGUCAGUUAUUAAAAUUGUAUGAAAAAAGAAUGACUUAAAUAUUGACCUUGCCAAUACAAUCAAGUAAAGAUGAGCUAAAAGUGAAUCAAUCUUUCAAUCCCACAAAAAAUGUUUUAAGGCUUUUCUUUUUAUUGUCUCAAGCUCACUUUUAAAGACCUUAGUUUAUGACACUGAAACGCUUCAUGUAAUCACGAAGAGAAAAAUGGAAAAAGAAUAAAACAAUGGUUAUCUACUUCUGAAACACUGAAUCAGUUUUUAUGGUUUGUUAACUCAAGAGCAAUCUGUACUUUUUUUAAAAAACAGAUUGUUACUUAAUUUUUCAAUAAAAUAAACCUACCAGCAAUUUUCUCAUCCAAUAUAAAUCAGACUGAUAUAUCACUUACCACUGGCACUUUCUCCCUUUUCAGCUGAUGCUGCUCAAUUUUGCCCACUGUUAAUAUAUAUUAUGUGUUGUUUUCAGACUUAUCACCAUUACCAGUCUAGCUUCUGAUCUCUGAACUGCAGUCAGGACUCAAGUCAGUCUCUCCACAUGGGGAAAAAAGGUGCACAUGUACCUGCCUAACACCGGCCAUAGCUCUUGCAUGCUGGGUGGAGCCCACACAAUAUGACAUGAAAAAGGAGUGAGCCACACAGGGAAGACAUUUUCAUUUACGUCAGAGCCCAUUGCUGAGUGGUGAGGAAUGUACACCGGGGGAUGAGCACCAGCAAGCAUCUAGUGGCUGCCAGGAGGGAAGCAGCACAUAAACUGGUAAGCUUUAGUUUACUUUUCACACUGUUUGGAGCUUCUGACCAUGUGAUGCUUUGGCCACUACAGAUGGCUGCAAUAUGGCAACAGGAUCUGAUCCUGCCUGCAGCCCUUGACUGUUCUUAACCCACAGCUCCUGAUCUGCUUUUAGAAUAUCUCAAUCAGGAUCAAGAUUUUCUGGAAUGUGUCAUUUUUAUUUUAGUCUUAUUAUAACUAAGUUGCUGAUCUUUAUUUUUAUCAAUUAAUGACCCUUUUGAACUUCAUCUCAUGAUACUUGAUUAACCUACUUAAAUAUACUGGAAAUUACACAUUCCUCAUUUAUGUCAUUCAUUAAUCACUGCUCAGUAAAUGCUGUCAGAAAGCUGUCAUCUUUGAUGUCUCAUUGUUCGCUGCAUUCUUUCUUGUGGGUAGUUAAUCAAAUGCUCCCCCACUGUGGUCAAAGCACAGUUUGAUAGCAGUUUCAGAGGUCAUCCAGAAUUAGAACACAAAGCUUAUUGUAAAGGUUCAUUUUUUCUUAUACCAUGCUAAACAAAAAGCUUUCAUUUUGCACUCAUUGGCAAGUGACACAUUAUUAUCAUGCCCUUGUGACUGGGUAGCUCAGAAAAUAGUACUAAGUUCUGCCAUCUAACUGAAGCACACAGUAAUGGCUGACUAAUUACCUGCAGCUCUGCAAUAAACUGCAAAGUUUGAAUUGUCAAUCACAGUGAAAUAAUGUUUCUUUGCUUUUUUUUUUAUUAGAGAUUGAAAUAAGAACAAUUGUCAAAAUGUAUUAAAACUUCAGGGGGUGGUAAGUCAAAUGAAAGCACCCCACAGAGAAAAAAUCCUAUCCUGGGACAAGGAAAGAAUUUUUAUUUCUAGUGUUUGUUCAAGGGAAGUUUACUUUAAGAUAUUUAGAAAUAAAUUCUGCAAAAGCAAUAGCUAGUUCUCAAUCAGCCUGAAAGCAAGUAAAAUACAAAUUCAGGUGAAUAAAGGAGUACAAAGAAAUGGGACUAUUUAAAAAGUUCAUUAAAGUUCUUAAAAAUUCACUGGAAUCACUGAUAAAGAUGAUGCCUUCUUAGACAGAAGAAUAUGAUAAUUUUGUAAAUAACACAUGAAAACAACUACAUUCAGGAAGUAGUAAGCAGCAGUCCCUAAUAAGGAGCUGAGGUAUUUCGCUAGUUAAGAUCCUGUACAAUUGAUGUGCUGUUUCCUGAGUUUGUCCUCUGCAAAAUGCCUAGUGAGAGUCACCCAUCACUAAGACAACCAAGCUUGUGGGACAAGAACUUGGAAUGGUAUAGGAUUGUAUCUGAUGUGGGUAAGUGUAAUAUUUGAUCUCUUAAUUUUUUAAAUAUAUUGUAAGCAUAUCUUUGUAUUAGACAUCUUAUAAUCCAGUGGUACACAUACAUACAAAAUGCAUCUGUAUCAUUUUUGGAUUUUCUUGCUGUGUGCAUUUGCUAUAGUUUGCUUGGAGAGUACACAUCACUAAUUAAAACAAAAGCUUGGUAAACAUGGUAUUUUUAUUUUCUCUCUUAUUUUUAUAUUCACUAUUUUUCAUUUUCUUGUUUGAGAUUGAAAAGAAUAUGAUGUUCUAGACUGAAGGCACUUUCCUUAUGUAUUUUUUCAGAGAGGACAGAGGGAACAAAAUAUUUUCUUUUUUUCUAGACAUUAACAUUCCACCUGACUCAAAUCCCCAUGGCCUUAAGUACUAUUUUCUUUUCUGUUAGAGUCUAGAAAUAAAAGCAUGAAGGUAAUACAUAGUCAGCUUUUCAUUCUUACAAUACACCUCUUGGUGAGCAUUUUGAUCUUAAGAGCAGCAUAAAACAUUGAGGAAGAAAUCUGAAAGGCAUAAAUCCCAGUUGUAUUAAAAGCAGACACUGACUAUUCAAAAUCCAGAUGCUAAUUUCACUAAGGUUACAAGACAAUAAUAACGUCUCCAUUGAUACCUGUAAGGAUCUAAACAGUUCUCUUCCCAGCAGUAUCUGAAGUUCACUGACCCAUUUAGCCUGGCUCUUUGCUUACAUUUCUCAGCUUCUGUGUGAUAUCACUGCUGUCAGCCCAAUCUACGUUCAGACAGGUAAAAUUGUGACAGAUGUUUAAAGAAGAAAUAAGUGACAUGAUCCUGAUUCACAGUACGCUAUAAGAUGAACGUUUGUUGAGUACAUCACCGCAGAAAACAGGCACUUGGAUAGAAGAGAGUCUCAUUAACAUGUUUUUCAGUGAAAUUCAAGUUCAAGUGUCUGAUUUUUAUUUUCUCUCCCAGGUACCAUGUUUUUGGAGUUCUACCAUUGCAUUUAGUGUAGUCACUAAACGCUUUACAGGAAUAUAAGAAUGACUCCAACUAAAUGUAUGCUGUUGAUUAGUGCAUCAAGCUUCAGGGCUUGAUGGAUGGGCAUGGAAACAACAUUAGUAUGAGUUUGUACCCUUCUCCUUCAAGGACCUUGAAGGACUUCCCUAUAGUUGAUUUUUUUUUUUAAUAUACUUAUUUCUACUAACAGUAUAAGAAUUUUGGAAGUUCGUCAAAGUCCAGGAACUUAAAAUACAGUCGUAAAACAGAGCCAGGCUACCAUAGAUCUUACAAAUGUAAUUUGAGAACUAACAUGAAGUAUAAAAUCUUUUUAUAAGAAAAAAAUGAAGAUAUAAAAGAAAUUAACACAUGAUUUAUUAAACAUAAUCCUAAUCAGCAGAGGUAGAAAACUGAAAUAUUAAAUGACUCCUCUUUCACCCUUCAUAUCAUACUGUUAUAAUUGAAAUUGGAAUUUUCAGGUGAAUUGUUCGCCUGCUUUGCAGAUUGCUUCUUCAGCUAUUUUUCCUUUUUUUUUUUCCUCCUUUAUCUGAGAGCAAUAUUUCUAAAAGGAGAAAAUAAUCUUGUGAAAUGGCAUCUAUUCUUUCUCUUUUAAAGUACAGAAAAUACUUUUCUCACCACACUUUCCAAAUACACAUUAAUUGUAUUGAAUUUUAAGAAAAUAUUAUGUAGGAAGAAAUAAUUAUAGCUGUCUGCUAACUGCUAUUGUUUUCUUGGUAACAUGUGACACCCUAAUGACAGGCACAUGCUGCUUGACACUGCCAGGAUCUCACUGUGGGCAGUGAGAGACCCAAAAAUACGAUGUCACCUAAUCCAGCGGCAAGGCUGAAAUCCCAUAUUUCUUCAGUUAUUCUCACUGCCCUAGAAGGAAUAUUUUGAGCCUGAACAACCUUUCACAAUCAAAAUACAAACAUAACUGGUUGGGUUUCAAAUGAAUACUUGGACUUUCCCAAAGCAAAUGUACUUCCAGCAGGAAAGCAUCUAAACAGUUCUCCUUAGAAAGAGCCUAGCUAUAGGAAAACUGCUGUAUUUCUGCACAACGCAACAUCACUGGUCAAUUGAUAAUUUCUUACUUUUUAAACUAAGAUCAUACAUAAGCAGACUUAGAACUCCUUGCCAGAGGAAGUCUGCUAUAACAUGAACAUCACCCCCCUCUUUUUUAAUCCCUUUUCAAAUUGGGAAAAAAAAAACCACUAAGAGCUUGGACUCAGCCAAAGAGAUGUUUUAUAGCUUGGAAUGGUUCUAAUUCAAAUAUGUAGCAAAUUUCAGCCAAGAGUGUCAGAUGAUCAAGAACACUUAGCUCAUCUAUUCGUGAAAUACAGUAGGAUACAAUAAGGACUAGCCAACUCUAAUCAAGAAGAAUGCUUCUGUAAUUAAAUAGGAUUGUUUGUUAGCCCAAGAAAUUAGAGAAAGCUCUUACAGCACAAACAAUAACAGUCUGGUUUAUUACCUCUGUAGUAAUUUUUUUCCUUCACAGUCUCAUGAUUUGCAAUAACACUUUGAUUUUCAUUUAAGUUGUUUGGAUUUUUUUUUCUUUCACUGCAGCUCUUUUAGAUUGUGAUAAAUGAAGAUGCAUUAUCUUCAUAAUUUACCCUCACAAUAAUGCUGUUAUAGUUUUUGUUUUGUUUCUUAAGAAAAUCAAGAGAAUUUGUUCUUAAUUACAUUCAUGACACAUGUACUUUGUCUCAUGUCUGUUCUGUUCCCUUCUUAUGUUUGUUCAUCAGACCAGAGUGAUUUCACCAUAUGAAUAUACUGGAUUGAAGUAGGACCUGCAGUAAGAUUAAUACUGACUUUCCAGAUAAGCAAGUAUGUCUGCAAUAUCUGAAAGUCAUCUUUCAAAGAAAAACUUGAAGUUGGAAUGCACAACAGGAUGGCACGUAUAAUGCCAUCAGCCUACUGGAAGUUGCUCUGCUACCUUGCAAUCAUGAUUAAUAAAGGGCAAUAUACAGUUUUGUAAGAAGUAAAUUAAGAUCUCACUUAUUUCUGCUUGAUAGAAAUCAGUUACAUAUCAAUUCCACCACUUUCCUCUAUGAAUGCUAUACCCCUCUAGACAAGGUAGAGUAUUGUGCAUUUGGAAUGAUGCAAGCAAACAAGUUCCCCAUGACUGUCAGUUACUAUGUACAGUGGACAUUCCCUCUGCACAAGAUACAAACAGGUUUGCAUCUGAGUUCCUGGAACCAUGUUCAGUGUAAGUGCUACUUUGUGAACACCCUGCAAAAAUCAGACUUUGUACAUCUGCAGUCAGUCUGAGGUCUGCCCUAAAGUUCUCCAUGACUGUACACAUCUCUCAUCUUCGUACUGUGCCCAGCAAGCUCUAUGAAAGGCUGAUAUUUUGACAGCUGUUUAUAUGGAUACUUAAGAUAUUUGUACAUAUACACACUACUUGACUACAUAUAGGAUAAGAAUUGUGAUACAGAAUCACCUGAAUCUACAAGAUUAUAUACCACAACCAGGAAGUUGAUUUUUUUAAUGACUAAGCUCAACUACAACACAAUAAAUGCAAAAUAUUGUAGAGAAUAGAAAACUAAAAGUAAUGCCUGGUCAGGACAAUUGACACAAUUGUUUAAAAAAAAAGGGGUCAAAUCACAAAAUCAGAUAUAUUCUUGUCUUCUACAAUUACUUCACUUCCCUAUUACACAUAGACUUUUUUGUUUUUGGCAGUGGUGAUGCAGAUCCUGUACCCUAUGCAAUGUAACCUAUUCAAAUGGAUUCCAUGAGAUCAUGUUUUGAAUUGUACCAAGCAGCAGCUGGAUAUUCUCAGACACAACAGGACUGCAAUGCUUUGAGCUCAGUAGUGCUCUGAACAGAUAUCCAAGUCCCUAGACUUUAUAGUUGAGCAUGGCUUUUGAACAUUUACUUCAAAUAUAUAGAAAAGGGCAUUCAAUAAAACUUGAAACACAGAAGAGAGGUGAAAACUGUUCAGGUGUGGCCAUAUGAUGCCAGGAAGUUGCAUUGCAGAGGUACACUUGGAAUGGUGUGCCAUAAGAUGUCAGAUUCUACAGGAAAUUAAGCAUCUGAUAAGUUCAAUUAUUCAAUCUCAUAUGUGGUAUAUAAAAAAAAGCAGUUAAUUUGCAUCCUGCAGUUUUCCCUUUUGCCUCUGAACUUUAAAAAGAAAAAAAUGCAAUUGCCUAUUGUGUUUAUUUAAUUAUACGUUCAACUGUUUAUUUGAUAACAAAGAGACUCAUGGACUCUUAUCAAAUGCUGUUUUUAUAAUUCGUAGAUCAUUUAGUAAAACAGUUUUUUUUUUAAACAGAUAGGAAGAAAGAUAAAAAAAGUUUAUUUCCUGAGUACACUGAAUUUGACAAUACUCAGAGCAAUCAAAGUUAAACUCUGUGCAUGAGAUACAAACAGCUUCUUUUUUCUAGAAGCUCUCCAUCAAUUAUAACAGAACACAGCUUAACAGAAAAAUUGUCAUUGUCUUACCAUAGCUGUGACAACGCCAGGCCUCUCCAGAGGUUGUUGUGUCAUAUGGUCACCAACUGCUGCAAAGUACCAGUGUUGCUGGACCAAAACCAAAGAACUAGAGAAAGCAACCCAAUUUUGUAAGCGUUGAUCACAGUUUAGGACUAAUGAUGUCAAAAAGCCAUUGACCGCCUCUGCUCUGGUUUAGUCUGCAGAAGGCAAAUCAAAUCUCAUGCUAAAACUUGCUGGCACGCUCUAGGAAGAAUACUUACUUUGUGACAAAAAUUCAGUAAGAUACUAUCUAAUUACUUGAAUCAGUACUACACUGAACAUAUGAGAAAAGAAGAUUUAGGCAAGAAGUCAUAUCCUUGAAUUUUUCUGUGAUAAAUUAAGAAUCUUAAAGCUUGUAUCUCCAUAACAACACAAUGAUUUCAUUUUCAUAAUGAUACAAGUUGCUGGAAACCACAACAGGAAAGGGAAUCAUUCAGAUGUCUCACUCACCAGAAGCUGGCCCCAGAUCGGAGCUGGGGCAGUGGGGAAUUAGGCACUACACUUGCCUGAGGAAUCAUCCCUGUUCACAGUACUCUGAAUGAGCACUGUGCCCAUCUGCUACUUGCACCUUGGUAGCACUGGCAUGUUUCAGCCUGUAGCCAACAAAUCAGAAUGCUAAGCUUUUAAAAUAGGUUUUAAAAUAAAUAAGUAAUCUAACUUUAAGAAAACGCUGACAGUGAAAGUUUGGAGAUGCAGAUUUCAACUUCUCAGCCAGAGCAAAUGUGAUUGUUCCUCUUCACGAAACACAAGAAGAGAAGUUUGGUUCACUGCUGGUCUUGGUGAACUCAAUUAUAUGAUUGUGUUUAAGAGUGAUAAUUCAUGUAACAACUGUAGAAAUCACAUGAACUUUUAACUGCAUCAUCAAUUUGCAAUUUUUUAAAUUAAGUCAGCAUAAUUUUUUAAGCUGUGAUAUAUGAUAAAUGAGAUUGUUUAUUGCUACAAGAGUUUACAGUACAACUGUUGGUUCUUACAACAAGUCUGUUUAGGUUAGCAUUGGUCCCUGCGUUAGCUUUGUGUUGUUCCACCUACUUGAUAACAAAAAAACAAAAACUGCCUGGCUGACAGACUUCUCUACUGUGCACUUCUGACUUAAAGCCUCUACUUUACAAAAUGAUUGGAGCAUUUUCAGUUUUAAAUAUCAAGUGUCCAAAUAAGCAAAAAGAUUAAUUAGCAGAGAACUACAUCAAUAGCACAUCAGACUUUUCAGUUAAAAAAAAGUCAAAGUUAAUAAUUUUCUAAUGCUUUAGAAUCUGUGAUAGUUAUUUUGCCACUCAGAGUCACACUUCUGGAGGUGAUCACGUUUUAACCAACCUAUACCUUACUGUUCUAUACAAUCUCUUCAGUAUAUUUACUGAUUAAAAGAAAAGCAUUAUGCCAUUAGCAACUGUCUUUAAAAUAAAAAACCAUUGGAGCCUUGGACAUAAUACAGAAGGAAAGGAAAAACAUGUCACCACAGACAUCACACUGACCGCAAUAAAAGCUAUCCAUUUAUUCAUCUUAGCCAGACAUCAUUACCGAAUAGGUUCAUGUAUUAUAUUUCUUGCAAAGUAUAAUGUGCAGAAGCAGCAUAUGGCUUGGCUGGAUUUUGAAUAUAUAGUUAUGGUUACUGAUAUAACCAACAUAAAAUUGAUACAGAAUUGCAACAGAUUGGGUUUUACUAAGAAGUAAUUAGGAAAUAAUCACUGUGUUAUGAUUAACCUGGUCUAAAAGGGAAAGGAGGAGUCCUUAAGGCUGAAGACAUACCUGAAGUAUAAGGGGCUAUUGAGAUUUUACGACAGCAGCAGUGGUGAGCAAGAUGAGCUCAAACAAUGUGGCAAGAGAGUAUGUGAGACACAUGGAUAAAAUAACAGAAAAAAAUGCCUUUGUACUUAUCUAUAAGGUUUCCUGCAAAAAUCAUUAGGGACAGGAAUAGAAAGAAAAAUAGCGAGGAAGAGUGACAAAACUUCACAGUGAGCCACAGGCAGCAGGUUUCUUUAAAUGACAGUAAACAGAGCUCUUAGGUACAUUCAUUCCCACAACACUGAAUUUCAUGAUGCAUACUUUAAAAUAAAACAAACAGACUUUUUCAAGUAUUACAUGGUGAAUUGCGUAGCAUUAUCUUUUCUUUAAGAAAGGGUUUUUUUUUUUCUUAACAUGUGUAUGACUUCCUUUGAAAGGGUUUCUCAAAUUUAUAAACAUACCCAUACUUAGGAUCUAUUGGUGGAGGGAAAAAAAGCACCCCAAACCAGCACUAAUGACAUUCAACUUUUAAAACUUCACCCAAGGACAAGGUGAAAAAUAAAGAACUAAUGCCUCUUGUAGCAUUUAGUUCUUAAUGUUUCAAAACCUCAUCUUUUCAGGAAAGCAACAUGCUAUUUCAGUUGAUUUGGUACAUGCCCAGAAUAUAACAAGAACUGAACCCUGGGUAUACUUUUAUCUAAUAACUGUCUUUUGCAUUUUCUUUUUACUCCUGCUCCGGAACAUUUUAAAAGCUUGUGAGUUGCAAAAAACUGAGAAUUCUUCCCCCACAUUGCAACUACUAAGUCAAAAGAAUAUGCUAACAAAUAUAAAGGAUAUUAUUAAUCUGAACCAAUUUAUGAACGAGUUUUCUUCUCUAGAAUACUUAUUUAAAUUAAUCAGAUUCCUUGAUUAUUUGUGGAACUGGUUAAAGAAAACACCAGCCUUGGAUUUCCAGGACCCUGUAAUUUCUAAUAAUUCAGGUUACUAUUCAUUACAGCAGGUGCACGUGUUUCUAUGCUGAGCCUUUGUGAGCACUGAUUCAAGCUCUCUAAAGGCCAAGGUAAGACAGAGUACACAAAAUUCUUGUUAUGAUGGUUCAGAGGCAUUCUGAUAACUUUGGAAUAGUGUCAUAUGAUAUAUAAAUUAUUCUUAAUUUUCCAUCUGCACAGAUGAAGAGUGAAAAAUAAUAAAAAGCCAUUGAAUGGAUAACUUCUGCUGGCCUCAGCGGAAACCAAAGGAAAAUUCAUAAACUACUAUGACAAAAUAAAAUGCAGAGUCUCUCUAGCGUUUUAGGUUUGUAUUGAAAAGCACAACCAUUAACCUCUGUUCAAAGGAAACAGGGACUGAGCUAGCAAUAGUGUUACAUUAAGAUACUAGGCAAACCAACUGAGAAACUUUAGAAAGAUACAUGUAAUAUCUACUUGAGUAAGCAUGAUACCAAUUAAGCCAGUUGCAUGCUCAGGUCUCCUAAGAGUCAUAUGAUCCCAACAGCAUUUCUUGCAUGGCAGCAAGUCAUAACUGCUAGUCUUCAAAUCAGAUUGAAGACCAGAACUGUCUCUCAUCAUCACCAAGCAGGUUAGAGUGGGCCAGUAUACAGAGCCAGUACUCUGCGUUCCACUUUAUUUCUCAUAUUUUGAUAGUUAGGAUUCAGGGACCAAAAAUACAUUUAUCUUCCCCCAUCAAUAUGUUCUUUAUUUCCCCACUCCACUUUUUCUAAGGCUUCCCUGGAAAAAAAAAAAACCUUCUGCUUAUUUUUUUUCCCUUUUGUUUAUUUAUGGUUUUACAGUGUUUCUUGAACAACACCAAGGAAGUUGUCUUUGCACAUCCUAGUAUCCCAGAUCGGGGUUGAUACAGCCAGAAAUUUUACAGCACCAAGAUACAGGAAUGACACAACAGACUAGAAGGCAAAUUAACAAUAGUGACGACCACUAUAAAGUGAUGGAAAGUAUAACAAUAAUAGCAGAGUAGCACAAUCCCAGUCUACAGUAAAUGACAACAACACCAAACGCAGCAGCCAUGAUACAGAAAUGAAAGGAAAAACUGCUUACCUUGUGAAGACCUUCAGUAAGCAGUAACCUCCAACAAGAUAUCCUCACCUCCACUGCUAACCCUUAAAUGAAGUCUGGGAAGGGGUGGAUCCUGGCUCCAUGCCUUCCAAUCACUCAGGUGCUCCACAUGCAGCUGAGCUCCCCUGGGUUGGCCCUGCCUUCCACCAGGUGCUCAAUCACUGGUUCAGGCUAUGACUUAGCAUUUCUGCUACAACAGUGAAAAACAGGCACCUAGCAUAGAUGAAUCAACCCAGACAAAAAACAAUGAAACAUUGUUAGAGCAAGGACUUGAACUUCAAUUAAAAUUGCAAAUGACUCUGUACCAUCACCAAAUGCUUAGGAAUAAGACUACUUGCCUAACUCAAUGCCCCAAAUCUAAACCAAUAAAUUUUCAAGUGCGAUAACUUGUAAAAAGUCUGCCUAGAAGGAAGGUCCAUAUCAUGAACAUUCAAAUAGACCAGCAAGAUGAUGCUAACAGCCUUCUUAUCAAAAGCAAGCCAAACAGAAUGAGUGUGAGAGAGAUGAGCUCAUGCACACUAGACAACAAGUAGCAAGCAUUCAGGAUCCUCAUUUUAGAAAAAUGAACUAUCUAUAACCUUGUUAGCCUCAUCUGGAGCAGAAAAACUUUCAAUAGCAUUAGGAUGGCAGUACUGCAGCAACACUACCUCAGACUUAAAGAAAUAACGAGAAGAAGUUAGAGGAGAUGCACUGGGUCCUGAAGCUCUCUCAUAAAGGAAUAAGCUUUCUGAAUACACCGACUUACAGCACAUGAAAAUAAACAUAAAGCUGGAAAUCCCAUGUUCUGUCAUGGAGAUACUUUCUACUUCUCACUGAGUCAAAAGUGCAUAGAGUCCACAACAGCCUUAUUGCAAUAUUUCAGAAAAUGCUCAUGCAGAAGUACUUGUCUUACAACAUUGCUGAUCUAUUGCACCUGAGAAAGUUCCCUGGGAACCCUAAGGACCAAGAAACCUCCAAAACAACAGACCCUCCAUGCUCCCCUUCCACACUCAUGAUGAAUGUAAAGAUAAAGAUGUAAAGCUGAGAUACCUUAAAUUAGUGCUAGAUGUGGCUGGGUUGAAUGCUAGAAGUUUCCAGAGAGCAUUGAGGGUUUUUUUUUUUUUUUAAUCAAAUGUGCCUUUUUGAAACCAAAAUCUGCUGUUCCUCAUCAAAUAAAACAGUGUCAACUUUUCUGCAAAGCAGAUCUUUGUUCAAGCACAGAAAGAGGUACAAUUCAUCCUGCUGUAUAUUUUAUAUGUGCAUAUAUACUACAGGCUGAGUUUAGUAUGUUAAGUUGACAGAAAGUACCUAAGGAGAUGAUAUUUUUCCUCAAAAUAAUUUUUUUUUUUUUUUUUUUUUUUAAUAUUCUUGUUCCUCUUCUCCUGUUUGUCAGUUGAAGAACUACAAAACUAGUGUAAGUUUUCUUCUCCAAAACACUAGCUAGAUGACUUCAUUUCUCUUGGCAGUUUUGGGAGUUUGAUCUCUUCACACUUUCACCUUUGUGAGAGUAAUCCCCCCUUCUAGCUGACUCAUUCAAAGUCUACAGAGCAGAUAAAAGAGCAAGCAGUUGAGCCUUGGCCUCCCAAAUCAUUUUUAGCUCUCUAUCUUUCAGCAUAUCUUUUCCUUGAAGAAAGUUUAUACCUUUCCUUACAGGAAUGCAAUUUGUUCUAGGAAAGAAAAGAAAAAAUCAAGACUAACAUGAACAUCUAUUACAGUUCAUCUGUUAGGAUAAUAAAACUUCUAGAGAGGUUAUAAUAGUAGCUUUACCUCAUUUGUCUUUUAAAAUCUCUUCUCCCUGUCUUAGAAGGCAGCAAUAAAAUAAGAUCAUAGAUAUGCUAGGUCAUCCCAGCUCUUACCAUUUGUGUCAUUCAAGCUAGUUUUAAGUAAGGCUAGAGAACAGUGGGUUUUAAAAUUCUAGCUAUUCUCUCUGCAUAGGGUUUGUCCAAAUGUUCGCAAUGUCAAAAAUAAAUAAAUAAAUAAAUCACCUGGGACAUCAUUUUGACACUAUAUAAAGUGCUCAUUUGGACAAUAUUAACCAUAAGAGUAGAAAUCUUUCUUGGAAUUAAAUAAAUGCAUUUUUUAUGUUGGUGAAAAAAAGACUGAGACAACCUACUUAGAGUACUGAGCAAACUAGGUGACUGGAUGCUCAGCUCACUACCCAAAUUCAGUUUAAGUAGUAGCAAAAUACAAGCUGUUGUAACUUGGGAAAUCUAGAAAUACAGACAUUUUACAAGAAGAUCUGAAGAAAAUUCCGAGUUUUUUUUAGUUAAGGAAAUACUUCUUUCAUGUUCAUGUUAGUUUCAAAACUAUUUACUUCUAUAGUUUCAGUUCAAUAAAACUUUUAGAUAUAGUUACCACCCACUUAAAAACUACUAUAAUGUCUUUUCACUACAUCAAUUAUAAACAUUCUUCAACAGAAUUGUCAGAGAUGACAGGAGAUACUGCAUGAUCUGCUUUUGAAUGUAUUAGUUUUGCUAUUAAUACUAAAUACAGUUGUGUUUUUAAAGUUUUACUUGGAGUUGUUCUUAGCGGUAAUAUUUGUUUUUCUCACCCUAUUGAAGUACACUGGAACAAAGGUAUACCUCUAUCUUCAUGUAAAAUGACAAAUGAUUAUUUAAUGUAAUUGUAAAGGGAACACAUUGAGAACUGAAUGAGUGACUUUGGCAAUGAUUUUCAGAAAAAUCUUUUUGUUCUGUCAAUUACAAAUAAUUUUCCAUUAUUCAUCACUUAAUAUAUUAUUCAGUAAUUUUCCAGAGGAUCUAUCAAUCUCAAAUUAUUUAAUGGUAAUUCUAUGUUGAACAUGUUUCACCUCACAUCAUACUACUGAUAUAGCCUUUUUUUUUUCCCUAGAAAUAAUAACUAAACCAUUCUCUGAAAGAGCAAAUCAAAUAGAGUUUUUUAAUCAACUAAAAGAUGGGAAAAGCCAGAAAGAGGACUAGAACUACAUCCAAUAUCUAAAAAGUACCGAAUCACAUUUAGCAUCUUUGCUCUUUGUGUUUUACUUUGAUCUAUACAUUAUCAGUCAUAAACUUUGGCUAAUUCAAAACAAAAGAGAUUUUUUUAAAAAAAAAAGAAUAUUAAUAUGUUAGCCCAAGAAAUUGCAUCAUUCUUUUAACUGUUUACCAGAUUUGUCUUGAGUCAAGAUACAUUUAAAGCUUAGAUGUGAAGGAAAAUAUACUAUUCCUAGGGGGCACAGAGAACCCAAUAACUUUCUUCUUCAUGCUUAAUAAUCUUGUAUGUGAGGGACCAAUCCAAUUUGUGGAAACGAAUUGUACCUUAGGGAUAUGUUAUUUCAACCCAAACUGAAUAUACUAUUCAUUUUAAAAAGUAGCAAUAAAAAUUAUAUAAGAUGCAAUUCAUUAUUUUUCUAAAUGUUUCGUGAUUCCACUGGGAGGAGAGACUUAAAUAGCUUACAGGAAGCCUACCUUAAUUAGGUUGCUUUUCAAAUCAAAUAUAGUAUAAUUUUAACAUAAAAAUGUCACUCAAGGAAAGUAUUCCAUUUACAAAGAUGAUUAAUAAAGUUUAAAGGAAAAAUGGGGGAUAUAUCCAUGGGUGAUAUGUGAAGGAAUGUGAGAGAGGAAAUGAUGCACAUGUAAAUGGACAUGUACAAAUAUGCAGCUAGCUAUGAGCUAUAUACAGAUAUCUGUUUCAUAUUCAUGCAUGCCUACACACACACAGAGAAGGGCAAUUUGUUACCAAAGCAACCACAUUCAGUUGUUUUUUUGUCCUCCAUCAGAAUUGGUUUGCAUUUUUGUUAAAAUAUUUUAGCUACUAAAAGCUCAGAAGAAUUUAUUGUGUAAAUAUUUAUUUAAGCUCAAAACUCGUUUACUUUUAUAAGAAUCUCUUUUUCAGCUUUAUAAGGGAAAAAGAGAAGAAAAUCAUAUUUGUUUUCAUGGAUUUACAAACAAUAAGACAUUAAAGUUAUAAUUGAGGUACUUUGCCUCAGUGGUGCUGUUAAAAUAUUGAUGUUUAUGCCAUAGAAAUAGUCAUUUCCUUUUCUGUGUAUAGAGAAAUGCUUCAGUUUCUCAGAUCCUCAAAUACAGUAAUUUACAUAAAUAUUGACUUUUAAUGAGGGCUGUGGUCAACGAUUUAAUUUGGGGACUGCAAUUCCACUGUAAUUUAAGAAGCAACAAUAAAAGCUGAAAUUUAGGAGCUUUAAUUCUCAGUGUACCCUUUCGGAAGACACUUAGUACUAAGUUUUAUAAGCCUUCAAAUAGCUUUUAAAUGAAGUACCUGAGUUCCACUAUUACCAUGUACUUGCAGUGCUCCAUGUACCCACCCCCAGUCUUAGUUUCUGAAACCAGGCAGCAAAACUUGAAAAUUCUGGCCUUAUCUUUCCUGCAUCUCAGCUAACCCAGUAGAAAAUAUACCCUAAGAAGAUUUACACAUUUAGGGAUUUACACAUCAUAGGUAACCAUGGCUUGAAUAUGUUGUGUAUAAUCCAUUCACAAUUAAUUUUUCAUGUUAGGCAAUAAUUUCAUUAACCUGAAGAGACAAGUUGACCAAAUAGUGAGUGAGAGAAGCAUGCACUAUAAUAUUCAACUUUUUUCCUUUUCUUUUUCCCGUGAAAAGCUGUAAAAACUUGUGAGUCAAAUCAAACACAGAAUAUAGCGUUCUGUGAUAUGAUCACUCAUGUCUUAUACAAAUUAUUAGCUCACCCUGUAAGGCCGAUCUAUACUUAAAACAAAAUGGAAUAAUGUAUUUUAUUAACAUCUGUUCAUCAGAGACAUUUUUUUCAAUAAAUAACAAUCAUAUAUCCUGCACUGAAAUGACACGUUAAAUGGUUUGGGUCUGUAAACAGUAUUUUAUCUCAUAAAUAGCAAUGGAGAUUUUGUAAUACAAUCUUGCAUACAGCUUGUAUCUUAAUACAUAAUAUUAAGAAGUACUUCACUAGAUCUGUGAAAAAAAUGUUAUUAGUUUUUAUCUUGCUGAGACUCUACAUUUUUUAAAAUCAAUUCUGGGUCAAUCUUUUUCCAUUUUGGUUAGAACAAACAACAGAUAUUAUUUUGAAUCAAAUGAAACUUUGUUUUUAGCUGCGUAUUUUUUAUCCUAAAACCUAGUAUUUAAUUUUAAGCAGCUUUCUAAAUGAAAUGUCAUAUAAAAAGAUUAACCACUACCACCAACAAAAACAAACAACAAAAAGUCUUGAUGUAUGUUCUUUUCACAUUUUAAGUCUUUCUGUGAUUUUAGCUGACUUUUAUUGAGGAUACUGCAAUGUACUUGCCACAUGAAUAAUGAUUCAGAACUUUGUGCCAGUCUGUAUAGAACUGCUGACCUUUCACUUAGCUGCAGACACCUCUCUAUCCAUAACCCAAAGAGGGUGACUGUUACUGCCAGUGAGUGAAACAUCAAACAGCAAUCUCAAAAUAUAAGGAUCUAUUCAUAAGGAGAUCUGAAACCUUGAGAAUGUUAGAAAUAACUAGGACUCCCUUGUUAAUGAACAAAAAACCGUUAAUCAGUUCCACAUAGCAAUUUGUAAAGCAAAUAAGGAUAGUGAUGGAUUGUCAUGCACAAGUAUCAUAUAUCCAAAUAAUAAUUACUCGCUUUAUAGUAUAAUAUUCUCUGUGUAUUCAUAUGCAGAUUUUAAACAAGCUACAUCCUUUGUUAGGAUUAAUAUUUGAUGUAUGGAAUAGUAUUUGACAAAUACCAAUAUUUAUAUAUAUAUAUAUAUAUUUCUUUUAAUUUCUCUUCGACAUCUUUUCUGAGUCUGUUUUUAGCAUUCUUUAAACAAUUUACUAAGUUUGUCUAUUCUCUUUGAAAAGCAUCAAAGUGUUUAGGACUUCAGCAUUUUAAACACACCCAAUGGUAACUGUCCCAUCCUUCCUCAGUGGGACUUUCAGCAUGCAGGAACAACUCUUUUGUAAGAGAUGAGAAGAACAGUACCUCAGAGCCCACCAGGAGCUCCUUUACUGUUAGGAUCCAUGCAUAUUCAUUGAUCAGCCAGUCAGUCACCUCUUUCUCUUUGGCACUGAUUGACAUUAUGACCUGAAGGGAAAAACAGAUUUGAUACCAACACAGAAACUUCUAUAGCAACCAGCCAACCUCUUGUGACAAUAACAGGAGACUAAUCAGUUAUAGCUGAACGAAAUUAAGAGUACUGCUAUUUUACAGAGUUAUAAUGAUGUUCUCUGGCCUAAGGUGAACACAUUUCCCAAAUAUAAUCAUGACAUUACUAAUUAUUCCAAAUCUGCAGGUCUACCCUAUCCCAACUGCUCACAUUUCCUCUUUGUGCCAGAAUUUUCUUCAGGAACAGUUCAAACAACAUCCAAAGCUCCUCUGUGUGGCCCUUCAGCUCCUUGUCUUAUAGGAUAUGUCUUCUUUGUCCCUGCUGCUCGGAUCUCACCCAGUGGCCUGUGGCAGACUCCUCCUAAACCUGGAAAAUUCUCACAGGAAGUUCAAGCCUAGAGUUGGAGUACAGCUAUUUUAACUGUGAUGAUGGGAGAGAGCUGAAAAGAUGGGAAAGCUCAAGUGAAUACUCAACCUAUACCUCUAUGAUUCCUGAAAACAAGCAGUUAACAGACAGAGUGAUAUUGUACAAUCACAGUUUACCCCUUGUUUGUUGUAUCCAAGUAACAAUUUGGCAGUAAAUGCUUAGUACAAAAAUUCAGAAGAGAGGCUAAUGAAACAAUAUUAGGCAGCUGCAGCAAUACCAUCGUGUUUUGGAACAGACAGAAAUUUGUCUGAUAAUGUGAUGAUUGUUAACUUCUCUGGCAGGAGAUAUCUUACAUCACAUUCAGGCAGCUCGCAGAUGGUAAAUCACUAUAAGGAAGUGAAAGCUACAUUAAUUCCUUUAGCAACAGUGAUUUUCAUGUAGAUCCUUAAGAUCAGCUUAUUGAAAUAUUAUUUUAGUACUUUAAAAUAUAAAUAUGACAAAAUUAUCCAUUUUAAAAUGAGAAAUCUAAUUGCAUAAGUUAAGUAGGAAUUGUGUUAAAAAUAGGAAGUGGUUAAACUUUCCUCCUUCCACCCCCAAAACCACACAGCUUUUUGCAGGAAAAGACAAACUUUAUUGCUUGGAUAUUAGAUAUCUUUUCCUUCAGAAAUGUGGUUUAUUUCUAUAAGUGACUGACCACACUGAGAGCAGUACCUGAACAUUAAACUUCCAUAAUUGUUCCUGUAACUCUACUUGGAAUUUUAUGCCAAAUAAUUCCAAAUGAAAUCUGUAACAGAACAACAAAAUUACUUGGACUCUACUCUGAUUUCUCAGCCAGCCAGUACUGAAAGAAUCACAGUCCAGGCACGGGACUUCCAUAUUACUGGUGGUUUGCUUCCCCAACAUAAAUAUCUUAUGAUAAAGCCCCAAAUAGGUAAACAUACAUGCCUUCACUAACCAAAUUUGAGGGUCAGGUCUUCCAACUGAUAGCAGUGAAUGCUGAAGGGUUUAUGCUUCAAUUACUGGGACAAAAUAAUUCUGCCCAAAAAGUAGACUACAAAUCAUAUAUGCCAUUUCUUUUAGUAUUCUUUACAGCAAUUGAAGUUUAUAAAGAAAAUAAAACAAAAAGAUUUGAAUUAAAGCAUAUUUUAUCACUUAAAACCAUGCACCUUAGGAAAAAAAAAAUUGCACAUGUAAUU